rnacentral:rRNA from 1 species
AACGAACGCUGGCGGCAUGCCUAACACAUGCAAGUCGAACGAGACCUUCGGGUCUAGUUGCGCACGGGUGCGUAACGCGUGGGAACCUGCCCUUAGGUUCGGAACAACUCCCCGAAAGGGGUGCUAAUACCGGAUAAUGUCUUCGGACCAAGGAUUUAUCGCCUUUGGGUGGGCCCGCGUUGGAUUAGCUAGUUGGUAGUGUAAAAGCCUACCAAGGGUACGAUCCACAGCUGGGAGGAGAGGAUGAUCACCCACACUGGGAAUUAGCCACGGCCCAGACUCCUACGGGAGGCAGCAGUGGGGAAUAUUGGACAAUGGGCGAAAGCCUGAUCCAGCAAUGCCGCGUGAGUGAUGAAGGCGUUAGGGUUGUAAAGCUCUUUUACCCGGGAUGAUAAUGACAGUACCGGGAGAAUAAGCACCGGCUAACUCCGUG